AACUUUGUGCAGUGGUAGUAUCAUAGCCAAUGAGGUUUAUCCAAGGUGUGAUUAUUGCUAGUAAAGAAUUAAUUUACAAUU
rnacentral:snRNA from 1 species